CAGUCGCCACGGGAAUACGUAGGGUGCAAGCGUUAAUCGGAAUUAUUGGGUUUAAAGGGUGCGUAGGCGGAUAGAUAAGUCAGUGGUGAAAGACGGUGGCUCAACCAUCGCAGUGCCGUUGAUACUGUUUAUCUUGAAUAUGGAUGAGGUAGGCGGAAUGUGGCAAGUAGCGGUGAAAUGCAUAGAUAUGCCACAGAACACCGAUUGCGAAGGCAGCUUACCAAGGCAAAAUUGACGCUGAGGCACGAAAGCGUGGGGAUCGAACAGGAUUAGAUACCCCUGUAGUCCCUGUCUCUUAUAC
rnacentral:rRNA from 1 species